rnacentral:rRNA from 1 species
UGAGGAAUAUUGGUCAAUGGGCGGGAGCCUGAACCAGCCAAGCCGCGUGAAGGAAGAAGGCCCUACGGGUCGUAAACUUCUUUUGCCGGGGAACAAGAGCCGGGACGCGUCCCGGAGUGAGUGUACCCGGAGAAAAAGCAUCGGCUAACUCCGUGCCAGCAGCCGCGGUAAUACGGAGGAUGCGAGCGUUAUCCGGAUUUAUUGGGUUUAAAGGGUGCGUAGGCGGGCUGUUAAGUCAGCGGUAAAAGCCCGGGGCUCAACCCCGGCGAGCCGUUGAUACUGGCGGUCUUGAGAGGGCGAGAGGCAUGCGGAAUGCGCGGUGUAGCGGUGAAAUGCAUAGAUAUCGCGCAGAACUCCGAUUGCGAAGGCAGCAUGCCGGUGCCUUUCUGACGCUGAGGCACGAAAGCGUGGGGAUCAAACAGG